rnacentral:rRNA from 1 species
UACGAGGGGGGGCAAGCGUUGUUCGGAUUCACUGGGCGUAAAGGGUGCGUAGGUGGCUUGAAAAGUUUGAUGUGAAAGCUCAGGGCUUAACCCUGAAAUGGCAUUGAAUACUGUCGAGCUGGAGGUUUGGAGGGGGGACUGGAAUUCUUGGUGUAGCAGUGAAAUGCGUAGAUAUCAAGAGGAACACCAGUGGCGAAGGCGAGUCCCUGGACAACACCUGACACUGAGGCACGAAAGCUAGGGGAGCAAACAGG